rnacentral:rRNA from 1 species
UACGGAGGGUGCGAGCGUUAAUCGGAAUUACUGGGCGUAAAGGGUGCGUAGGUGGUGUUAUAAGUUAGCUGUGAAAGUCCUGGGCUUAACCUGGGAAGGUCAGCUAAGACUGUAAGACUAGAGUAUAGGAGAGGGUAGUGGAAUUUCCGGUGUAGCGGUGAAAUGCGUAGAGAUCGGAAGGAACACCAGUGGCGAAGGCGGCUACCUGGCCUAAUACUGACACUGAGGCACGAAAGCGUGGGGAGCAAACAGG